UUAUAAGCAAAAAUCAACUUUUUAGGUUUAUUCAAUAAAUGAUGUAUUUGGUCCAUAAUGUAGAUCAAAUACAUCAUUUAUUAAGUGAACCUAAAAAGUUGAUUUUUGCUUAUAA
rfam:Medicago truncatula strain A17 chromosome 2, whole genome shotgun sequence.